rnacentral:rRNA from 1 species
UACGUAGGGGCCGAGCGUUGUCCGGAGUUACUGGGCGUAAAGCGCGCGCAGGCGGCUCGUCAAGCCUGACGUGAAAGCCCCCGGCUCAACCGGGGAGGUCGUCGGGGACUGGCGAGCUUGAGGUCGGCAGGGCGUGGUGGAAUUCCCGGUGUAGUGGUGAAAUGCGUAGAGAUCGGCAGGAACACCCGUGGCGGAAGCGGCCACCUAGCCCGCACCUGACGCUGAGGCGCGACAGCGUGGGGAGCGAACGGG